rnacentral:misc_RNA from 1 species
GAUGAAGAACGUAGCGAAAUGCGAUACGUAAUGUGAAUUGCAGAAUUCAGUGAAUCAUCGAAUCUUUGAACGCACAUUGCGCCUGCCAGCACUCUGGCAGGCAUGCCUGUUCGAGCGUCAUUUCAACCAUCAAGCCCUAGGCUUGCGUUGGAGCCCUGCGGCUGCCGCAGGCCCCUAAAAGCAGUGGCGGACUCGCUAUCACACCGAGUGCAGUAGAUUACUCUUCGCUCAGGGCGUGUGGCGGGUUCCAGCCGUGAAACCCCCUACUUCUCAAGGUUGACCUCGGAUCAGGUAGGAAUACCCGCUGAACUUAAGCAUAUCAAUAAGCGGAGGA